GGCCCUGUGCUCUGCUUGUUCGUCUUGCCUUCCCUCCCCAGGAUCUGGGCAAUCAUUAGGUUUUUAUUCUCUCUAGUUUUGCCUUCCAUACAGUUGACAUCAUACAGUAUACAGCCUUCUUAGUAAUAUGCAUUUAAUGUUCUCCCAUGGUUUCUUCUUUUAAUGGUUGACAACUCAAUCAAUUAGUGCAAUACAUCACAUUAGCAGUCUAAAGAAUUAUGUGGAUAAAUAAUGUACAUAAAGCUUUUGACAAAACUCAUUUGUAAUUUUAAAAUAUUCUCAGCAAACUUGAAAAACAUCAACAUAACAGCUUCAGCUAACAUUAUACUUAAUAAUUAGAAACUAGAUUCUUUUUAUUUGUUUGAGAUAGGGGUUACCAUGUAGCCCAGGCUGGCUUCAAACCUGUGAUCCCUCUGUCUCUGCCUCCAAAGUGCUAGGAUUACAGGUUGUAAGGCCAUGUCCUUGCCCUGAUCUUAUUUGCUUAUCAAUGAAUAGCAUUCCUUUGUAGGAACACAGUUUGUCCACUUACUCAUAGAAGAAGACCCUCAUGGCUUCAGUACUUGUCAAUUUUAAAUAAAGUUGCUAUAAAGGUCACGUGUAUGUUUUUACAUGGAGAUUAGUUUUAAUGUAAUUGGACAUCAACCUAUGAGGCCAAUUGUGUUUUGAAUGAUAAAACAUUUAGCUUUUCAACAAAGUGGCUGCACCAUCUGCCUUUGUCGAUUGCAGUAAACAGAGUACUUACUGCCCCACAUCUUCCCUAGAAUUUGGUAGUGUUAAGUGUUCUGGAUUUUAAAAUUCACUGACUUUCUACUUCUCACCCCUUUCUUUCAGGAACAGUGUUUUUUGUGAUGUAAAAAAUCACUAGCAAAACCCAGGUACCUAGAUUUUGCUCCUAUGAUAUCUUCUAGAAGCUUCAUAUUUGCACAUUUUAUAUUAAGACCUAUGAUACACCUUCAGUUUUAUAAACAACAUAAGGACUGUGUCUGCAUUCAUUAUUUGCAUGUGAAUGUCCAAAUGGUCUAGUACAAAUCAUUCAAAUGACUGCCUAUUCUUUUCCUUUUCAGUGACCUUUUCUCCUUUGUCAAAGUUCAGCUGGAUUUCCUAUACAGGGGCUGGAGAGAUGAUUCAAAAGUUAAGAGUACUGGCUGUUCUUCCAGAGGACCCAAGUUCAAUUCCUAGCACCUACAUGGCAUCUCACAACUGCCUGUAAUUGUGACAUCCUCACACAGACAUAUAUACAGGCAAAAUACCAAUGUAAAUAAAAUUUAAAAAAUCAUAUAAAAAAGAUUUCCUAUACAGACCUUCA